rnacentral:rRNA from 1 species
ACCUAUACGCGUCCAGCGACGAAGCUAGAAGAAAUUCUGGUGGAGGUCGGUCGCGAUUCUGACGUGCAAAUCGAUCGUCUGAGAUGCGUAUAGGGGCGAAAGACUAAUCGAACCAUCUAGUAGCUGGUUCCCUCCGAAGUUUCCCUCAGGAUAGCUGGCGCUCGCGUUCUCGAGGAGUCUCAUGCGGUAAAGCCACUGACUCGAGGUUUCUGGGACGUAACGUCCUAGACCUAGUCUCAAACUUUAAAUGCGUGAGAGGCCGGGCGUGCCUAACCCGCGACGCCCGCGCCGUUUCUCUGACGGAUCCACGGGCCGCCAAGUGGGCCACUUUUGGUAAGCAGAACUGGCGCUGUGGGAUGAACCAAACGUCCGGCUAAGGUGUCAAAGUGCUCGCGUAUCAGAACCCACUAAAGGUGUCGGUUGCUAUUGACAGCAGGACGGUGGCCAUGGAAGUCGGCA